AUGGAAGGAGCCAGUAACUGUCCCAGGUCAGAAAACGCCUCUGAAAAGGAUCUACAUUACACCCAAAGUUCAUUGGAUAACUGCACCCUCAACAAUCAGGAGACAAUAAGUGGUGUAGACAGAGCUAAUAUCUUCCCCAAAUCAGAUGGUACCUCUGAAGACAUUCAGCAUUCCACAGACUGUUCACAGGUUGAGACUUUCCACAUUCAGGAGACAAUAAGUGGUACGAACCAAGCCAGUAACUGCCCCAAAUCAGAUGGUGCCUCUGAAGACAAUCAGCAUUGCACAGACAGUUCACAGCAUGACAGUAUCUUCCACAUUCAGGAGACAAUAAAGGGUAUGAACCAAGCCAGUAACUGCCCCAAAUCAGAUGGUGCCUCUGAAGACAAUCAGCAUUGCACAGACAGUCCACAGCAUGACAGUAUCUUCCACAUUCAGGAGACAAUAAAGGGUACGAACCAAGCCAGUAACUGCCCCAAAUCAGAUGGUGCCUCUGAAGACAAUCAGCAUUGCACAGACAGUUCACAGCAUGACAGUAUCUUCCACAUUCAGGAGACAAUAAAGGGUAUGAACCAAGCCAGUAACUGCCCCAAAUCAGAUGGUGCCUCUGAAGACAAUCAGCAUUGCACAGACCGUCCACAGCAUGACAGUAUCUUCCACAUUCAGUGGCUCUUGAUGUAGAACCACCCAUAGAUCCUUCUGCAAAAGAAGUCCAGAAAUCUUCAAUUGAACAAGCAACAGAAAUAACAAGUACCACAACUACCAUGAAAGGUACUGUUUGUUAAACUUCAUAGAAAGCCUUUAUGAACUUAAAAAUCUCUGUUUUUUCUGAUGUGCUUUGUUCAUUCAGGUCGAAAGGUGGUAAAGAAAAAGAAAUGGGACAGUGAUGAAAUGAAUGCAGUUGAAAAGCAUCUAAACAGGUUCAUCAAAACUUGUACAGUGCCAGGAAAACAACAAUGUGAGGCCUGUAUAAAUGCUGAACCUGUUGCCUUGAAAGACAGGGAUUGGUUGUCUGUAAAGUUCUUUGUGAAGAACAAAAUCACUACCCUUAAAAGAAGAAUGUAAAGUCAGUUAUUUUAUUUUGUUUGGUAUCUU
rnacentral:lncRNA from 1 species